rnacentral:rRNA from 1 species
UACAGAGGACUGCAAGCGUUACUCGGGAUUCACUGGGCGUAAAGGGAGCGCAGGCGGACUCCGUGUGUCGGACGUGAAAUACCGGGGCUUAACCCCGGUGCUGCGUUCGAAACUACGAGUCUAGAGACUUGGAGGGGUAAGCGGAAUUCUUGGUGGAGCAGUGAAAUGCGUAGAGUAUCAAGAGGAACACCAACGGCGAAGGCAGCUUACUGGACAAGAUCUGACGCUCGAGGCUACGAAAGCGUGGG